GUAGUCGUGGCCGAGUGGUUAAAGCGACAGACUCGAAAUCUAUUGGGAUAUUCCCGCGCAGGUUCAAAUCCUGCCGACUACG
rnacentral:tRNA from 1 species